CAGCAGCCACGGUAAUACGGAGGGUGCAAGCGUUAAUCGGUAUUACUGGGCGUAAAGGGUGCGUAGGCGGUUGUUAAAGUCUGUUGUGAAAUCCCCGGGCUCAACCUGGGAAUGGCAAUGGAAACUGGACGGCUAGAGUGUGUCAGAGGAUGGUGGAAUUCCCGGUGUAGCGGUGAAAUGCGUAGAGAUCGGGAGGAACAUCAGUGGCGAAGGCGGCCAUCUGGGACAACACUGACGCUGAAGCACGAAAGCGUGGGGAGCAAACGGGAUUAGAUACCCCUGUAGUCCCUGUCUCUUAUAC
rnacentral:rRNA from 1 species